UGGCUCUCGCAUCGAUGAAGAACGCAGCGAAAUGCGAUAAGUAAUGUGAAUUGCAGAAUUCAGUGAAUCAUCGAAUCUUUGAACGCACCUUGCGCUCCUUGGUAUUCCGAGGAGCAUGCCUGUUUGAGUGUCAUGGUAUUCUCAACUCUGACUUGUCUCUGACACGUCUGAGUUGGAUGUGGAGGUUUGCUGGUGCUUGCCACCGGCUCCUCUGAAAUGCAUUAGUGUGGAUGCUUCCCCAAGCAAGCCCUCAGUGUGAUAACUGUCUACGCUGUGGGUGUGGGGUUUAUGCAAAGUCUGCGCUUCGAACUGUCUUCUGUGGAGACAACCUUUGACAUCUGACCUCAAAUCAGGUAGGACUACCCGCUGA
rnacentral:misc_RNA from 1 species